rnacentral:rRNA from 1 species
UACAGAGGUCCCAAGCGUUGUUCGGAUUCACUGGGCGUAAAGGGUGCGUAGGUGGUCAGGUAAGUCGGGUGUGAAAUCUCGGAGCUUAACUCCGAAACUGCAUUCGAUACUGCCGUGCUUGAGGACUGGAGAGGAGACUGGAAUUUACGGUGUAGCGUGAAAUGCGUAGAUAUCGUAAGGAAGACCAGUGGCGAAGGCGGGUCUCUGGACAGUUCCUGACGCUGAGGCACGAAGGCCAGGGGAGCAAACGGG